GGGUGCGAUCAUACCAGCACUAAUGCACCGGAUCCCAUCCGAACUCCGCAGUUAAGCGUGCUUGGGCGAGAGUAGUACUAGGGAUAGGUGACUUCUUGGGAAGCCCUCGUGUUGCACCCC
rnacentral:rRNA from 1 species